AUUGUGUCCGUUCUCUACAUUUAGCACAACAGACUAUGCAUCGGAGGCAGAAAAUUUAUUCAAGCUCUGAAGUCCCAAACAACUGAAAAUGUUCUAAAACACCAUCACGUGACCCUGUUUAGCAGACACUACAUCUGUCUAUGAGCAAUGAACAGAAUCAUGAACAGUAGUGAACACCUCUGGCAACAUCAUGUUUUAAUAUCUGCUUUAAUGAUGUCAUGAACUACACGCUGCACUCUUGAUUCCCGCACUACUAUUGUCAAGACCAAAUGUUAAAGUUCAUAUUCAGCAAGUUGAAGAUAACUGACACCGUCUUUAAGUAUAAGU